rnacentral:rRNA from 1 species
GACGAACGCUGGCGGCGCGCCUAACACAUGCAAGUCGAACGAGCGAGAGAGAGCUUGCUUUCUCGCGCGAGUGGCGAACGGGUGAGUAACGCGUGAGGAACCUGCCUCAAAGAGGGGGACAACAGUUGGAAACGACUGCUAAUACCGCAUAAGACCACGACCCGGCUUCGGGUGGAGGGAAAAGGAGCAAUCCGCUGUGGGAUGGCGUCGCGUCCGAUUAGCUAGUUGGGGAGGUAACGGCCCAGCAAGGCGACGAUCGGUAGCCGUGCUGAGGGGUGGAACGGCCACGUCUGGAAUGCGGCACGGCCCAGACUCCUACGGGAGGGAGCAGUGGGUAAUAUUGCACAAUGGGGGAAGCCCUAAUGAAGCGACGCGGGGGAGAGGGAGAAGGUGUUCGGAUUGUAAAUUCGUGUGGGAGGGGAAGAUAGUGACGGUACUCAACAAGGAAGUGACGGCUAACUACGUG